rnacentral:rRNA from 1 species
AGUGAACGCUGGCGGUAGGCCUAACACAUGCAAGUCGAACGGCAGCACAGUAAGAGCUUGCUCUUACGGGUGGCGAGUGGCGGACGGGUGAGGAAUACAUCGGAAUCUACUUUUUCGUGGGGGAUAACGUAGGGAAACUUACGCUAAUACCGCAUACGACCUACGGGUGAAAGCAGGGGAUCUUCGUACCUUGCGCGAUUGAAUGAGCCGAGGUCGGAUUAGCUAGUUGGCGGGGUAAAGGCCCACCAAGGCGACGAUCCGUAGCUGGUCUGAGAGGAUGACCAGCCACACUGGAACUGAGACACGGUCCAGACUCCUACGGGAGGCAGCAGUGGGGAAUAUUGGACAAUGGGCGCAAGCCUGAUCCAGCCAUACCGCGUGGGUGAAGAAGGCCUUCGGGUUGUAAAGCCCUUUUGUUGGGAAAGAAAAGCAGCAGGUUAAUACCCCGCUGUUCUGACGGUACCCAAAGAAUAAGCACCGGCUAACUUCGUG